rnacentral:rRNA from 1 species
CCUACGGGUGGCAGCAGUGAGGAAUAUUGGUCAAUGGGCGCGAGCCUGAACCAGCCAAGCAGCGUGAAGGAUGACGGCUCUACGGGUUGUAAACUUCUUUUAUAAAGGAAUAAAGUGAGGCACGUGUGGCGUUUUGAAUGUACUGUAUGAAUAAGGAUCGGCUAACUCCGUGCCAGCAGCCGCGGUAAUACGGAGGAUCCGAGCGUUAUCCGGAUUUAUUGGGUUUAAAGGGAGCGUAGGUGGGUUUUUAAGUCAGUUGUGAAAAUUUGGGGCUCAACCGGAGAAUUGCAUUUGAUACUGGCAGUCUUGAGUACAGUUGAGGCAGGCGGAAUGCGUGGUGUAGCGGUGAAAUGCUUAGAUAUCACGAAGAACACCGAUUGCGAAGGCAGCUUACUAGACUGCCACUGACAUUGAUGCACGAAAGUGUGGGGAUCAAACAGGAUUAGAUACCCGAGUAGUC